GCACGGAUAAGGCAGUGAUCAGACGAUC
rnacentral:sRNA from 1 species